UAUGGAGCAUUGUCUAUAACCACAAGUGAC
rnacentral:sRNA from 1 species